rnacentral:lncRNA from 1 species
UUCAGAGGCGGCUUCGAGGAGUCAGGAUAAGGCAUCAGCACACACGCCCUCAGUUUAAGAGGGCCGGAGGGGAGAAAAAACCCUGUGCUCAAGGCGGAGUCUCUCACCUUCCCCGCCGCCCGCCGCCCGCCGCCCGCCGCGCCGCCCCGGCCGAGUCCACCGUUGUGGAAACAGAAACCGCCCUUCCAGAGCACAGGGUGGAUAUGCAAACAGGAAAACCCUGCGGCGCCGCCUCUUGAACCCCCGGGCAAGGCGAUUUAAUUCUUUGGAGGGGGAAACGGAGGGCGACGGGCACGCGGCCCCGGGCUGCGGCCGCUGCUUCGUGCCCUCAGUCAGGAGCUCGGCGCGCAGGAUUCAGGACUCGGGACUCGGGACUCGGGACUCGAGACUCGGGACUCGGGAUUCGGGAUUCGGGACUCGGGACUCGGGACUCGGGACUCGGGACUCGGGACUCGGGACUCGGGACUCGGGAUUCGGGAUUCGGGAUUCAGGGUCUCCUACCCGAAAGCGGGUCGGAGCGUCCGGGUUACGGAGCGGAGACGAAUGGGGUUCCGGUCUACACGGAUUACACGACCCAGGGUUGUGGACAACCUCAAGCCUCGUGUGUGCUGCCCCGCGCAUUCCGGAGAUGAAAGCGGGAGACACUGCGGCUCACAGUCAUCUCGGCGGCCACGCUCGGACCCUGGCUCCACACGCAGAUCCGAGGGCUUCCGGGCCUGCUCCUCCUGCCGCAAGAGUCGCCCGCCCCCUGCAGGGGACGAGCGCAGCCUCGGGCCGAAGGCAUCUGCGCUCCGCUUUCCUCCCGCGCCCGUAGCCACUCCCCGGGUCCGGGUGUUGGGGGGUAUUCUCCACGGGGUCCUAGAACCCCAAGAAGGCCAGUGUCAGCCCUGCGAGGAAAGCCUGAACUGUUUCUCAAAGGCAGUGCACGCCUUCCGGGAGCUGUCAGGAUCCCGCAAGGUCGCCUCUGGGAUCCCAGCCUCAGGUCGUCGGUCCCUGAGUGAACAGGGAAAGCUAAAGAGGAGAAGAAAUCCAGUGGGAGGGGAGUCCGGGGGCGGGUGCUGCGUGGGGAGCGAUGUCACCCGGCAAGAAAAGGGCCAGCGGAAAACGGAAUGUCAUGAGUCUCUUUCCCCUUAA